GACUCCUCAGUUCUCCUUCUCACAAUGAAGCUCCCUGCUCAGCUCCUGGGGCUGCUAAUGCUCUGGCUCUCUGGAUCCAGUGGGGAUAUUGCGAUGACCCAGACUCCACUCUCCCUGCCCGUCACCCUAGGAGAGUCAGCCUCCAUCUCCUGCAGGUCUAGUCAGAGCCUCUUUGAUAGUGAUUAUGAACUCACCUAUUUGGAUUGGUACCUGCAGAAGCCAGGCCAGUCUCCACAGCUCCUGAUCUAUAGUGUUUCCAACCGGGCCUCUGGAGUCCCAGACAGGUUCAGUGGCACUGGGUCAGGCACUGAUUUCACACUGAAAAUCAGUCGGGUGGAGGCUGAGGAUGUUGGGGUUUAUUACUGCAUGCAAAGUAAAGAGCUUCCUCCCACAGUGGUACAACCCUGAACAGAAACCUCCUUGCUGGCGUAUCCCAGCUGCUCACAUGUGCUGCUUGUCUGGGGGAGCAGCUCAGCAGGGUCUCUGGGUCUGCAGAAGACUAGGCUGCUGGAGAAUUCAGGGCAGAGUUUGCUGCUGAGGACUCUGUCUGGGACAACAGUUGCAUGCCACUAAGCAUGGCUAAUUUUUGUUUUACGUAGAGUCGGUGCUUCACCACGUUGCCCAGCCUGUUCUCAGGCUCAUGGGCUCCUGCCACCCACUUGACUUAGCCUCCCAAAGUGCUGGGAGUAUAGGUGUGGGCCAUUGUGCCAGGUCAGCACCCCUGUUUAUGUUCCUGUCACUUGCCACAGCCAUGACUCUCAUAAGCAACAGGAGAAUGAGGAGGUUCUAGGGCCCUGUGAGUAAAAAUUUGGGAUGAAACGGAAAGAAGAAUGGAAGCUCAUCUUAAUCCUCCUUCCUUGCUUAUAUUUUUAAAAUAUCCUGAGCAAAACAGCCAGCCAAUUGAUCAUUUCUGGCAAAACAUGUUGAAUACAUCUUAGGGUUUAACAGUUUUGGGUACAUUUUAAAGAAAAUAUUUGGUUAUAUGUGAAAUUGGCAUUUUCCCACUUUUUAAAUUCCUGCUUCUUCUAUUUACCAUUCUUCUCCACUCCCUGAGACAGUAGACACAGGACUUUCCACUAGUUCUUCUCAGGGUGAGCUGGCUGGGGACAACCAGUAACAUCUUGGUUGUGAGUGUCAAACAGAUUUUGUAAUUUCAUAGCAGACACAAGAUCCUAACACUAAAACUCUUUGAUCAAAAUUACCUCUUGUGGAUUGAAAAGGGAGUUCUUGAAAUUUUUAAAGUUGGUUUUAAAAAUAAUAUGUGUAUACUGGAAGAUGCAGUAUACUAAAAAUGUGGUAUUUUCCAUAGAUCACUGAGAAAAUACAGGAUGGUGUAAAGUUUUUUAUUUUCUAAAGCUCAGAAUUUGGGAUUUGGCAGACUGCAGGAAUGGGGGCAUGAAGAGAACACAGGAGAGGUCAGCUCUUGUUCGAUUAAAUUUCCCUUGGCUAUGGUGGGUGGGAAUGUGGCUGGUGGUGGGCUUGGCAGUUGAUGAUGUAGAUUAAAAAGGAGCCAAAUAUGUUACUUGUGAAGAACCACAGAGCUGAAGGCACUGCUGCCUGGCUUCCUGGGUGGAGGCUGUGCCACUGGGAGUCUCACAAGAAAGCAAUCUCGUGAGCAAGUAUUUAUGUCUGUGAUCAACGAAGGUUUAGAGAAGUCCCUGUACAAGCAGACCUGAGGUCAUGCCACUCAAUUCUAGUUAAAUCGCAACAGCCAAGCAGAGCUUCUGAAACUCAUUCUGCUCCUAGAGGAGUUUAGCAGAGAUCACUGGUUGUGUCUGGAGACCUCACAAGCACUGACAUGCUGAGCAGAAGGCUCAAUAGGAUGUAAGCCAGCAGGUUUUGAUACAUGAAAAUUUUCCUUUUCAGUUGUCAUAAAAAACAAUAGAAGGUUUGAAAUAAGAAAAUGUAUUAUUUUGACACAAUGUGGUCAUUACCCAAAAAUAAAUUUGAUUUCCAUAUUCUAGUAGUAGGUGUAAAGAAAAAUCUAUGAUUUGCAUGUAUUCACUUAAAAUAAUGCUCCAAAAAUAUUUGUGAAUUAAUCAUG